rnacentral:lncRNA from 1 species
CACUGACGUCGGCUAGUGUGUGUGGGCUGCGAGGUGAGGAGGGUCCAGGAUGGCCGAGCCACAUCCCCGCUCCCCCUUUUGGAUUCUGCUUUUCAGACGCACUCUAAUUAUUUAAUGGUCACUUUUAAAAAGGACGCCGGUGGCGCCAGUAGUCUCUCGAUGUGCGAGACACCCACAGUGGGAGCUAUGGACAGGGACUGAGGGAUCCUUUCUUCUUCUGGGCAAGUCCCUUCCUCCUCCGGCUGGAGGUGAAGUGCCUUCUGGUGCGCGCAGGGUCGUUAAUUUUCUGUCACAAACGCCGGCUAAGCUGGGGACGCCUCGGGAGCGCAUCGGGGAGUCUAGGGUCCAGAGCAGGUUGAAAAGCUGCCUGUGAGAACCUAGUGCUCUUUUGCGAUCCCACUCUGCGUGGGCACACACACACUCCAUACUGAGGAAGCCUCAUCAGUUCUUCCACGGGCCCCUGGCUACAGCAAAGUAGACGGCACCCCAACAGGUAAGGCCACAAGGCUACCCUGCUCUGCCUUGGCAUCUGAGUUUGUGUCGAGAAUCACUAAUAAGGCCACUUCAGUAGUGGGGCAGUAGCAGGGUGUCCUAUGCCUGUGUUUGCAGUUCAUUGCGUCUUCGUGGCUUCUACAAGUUGGUUAAGUCACAGAGAGUCCCCAGGUCCCCAGGAAAUCAUGGCCAUUGACUUUGUUCUCUGUGUCCUGACACUCA